rnacentral:rRNA from 1 species
AAGAGACAGCAGUAGCCGCGGGAAUACGGAGGGUGCAAGCGUUAAUCGGAAUUACUGGGCGUAAAGCGUGCGUAGGCGGUGAGUUAAGUCUGCUGUGAAAUCCCCGGGCUCAACCUGGGAAUGGCAGUGGAUACUGGCUCGCUAGAGUGUGUCAGAGGAUGGUGGAAUUCCCGGUGUAGCGGUGAAAUGCGUAGAGAUCGGGAGGAACAUCAGUGGCGAAGGCGGCCAUCUGGGACAACACUGACGCUGAGGCACGAAAGCGUGGGGAGCAAACAGGAUUAGAUACCCGAGUAGUCCCUGUCUCUUAUAC